rnacentral:lncRNA from 10 species
AGAGUUAGAAGUUCUAUCCCCAGCUUACCUUCUCUCUCUUGAUUGGUUCCUUCCGGAUGAUGCUUUUUAACCAAUUGGAUGGUGAUUUUUUCAAAGAACACCUAUGGACCAAUCAGCACACAUUCUCCCAUUGUAAACCCAGACAAGCCCAGACUCAGCCUCACAGAUGACAACCCACUUUCAGGGUCCCUUUUCACAGUUGAGGGCUUUCCUUCUGUCGCUCAAUAAAAUUCUUCUCUGCCUUACUUACUCUCCAGUGUCCACACACCUUAUUCCUCUUGGUCACAGGACAAGAACUUGGAACUCACUCAGCUGUGGGCGGCUGGAAUGAAAGAGCUAUAACACAUUCCUGCUCACCGGACUACAGGAGAAAGACAGCUAUAACACGCUCCCACUGGCUGAGCUACGAGAGUAAAGAGCUGCAACUUUUCUUGGGGCCCAAACCUUGGGACUCCCCAAGCAAGAGCUGUAACACCACUUGGGGCUCCGCGAUUGCUGGCAUCUCUGAGGUUUUGGGCACCACCAACCUUCGCCUAUUCUAGACGCCUGCGCCCUAUACAGAAAUUCCCAGCUGGCAAAGUGGCACCAAAGGAAUCCUGUAACAAUAUGAGACCCACCAUAGUCACCUUUUCUUUUUUUUCUUUUUCUUUUAUUUUCUUUUUAUCUGCCAGGACAAUUGGGCAUAAUACAGAUGAAGGCGUUCUAUCGUUUUUUUAUUACAGGGUAAUGAUGACACAGAAGUGUCAGCUGACCAACAAUGAAAACACAGCCAGAGCAGGAAAUAAACCUUUGUGGCAAGUGACUGCAUUUUGUUGUUAUUACAGAAGUAUUGCCUAAUAACUUCCAGCUAAAACAAUAUUGCAGAUAUGAUUCUUUUGAUUUAUGACUUUUGCCUGAAUGAUAUUAUAGUUGAAAAUAAUUCAGUUGGGGGACAUGUGCAC